rnacentral:rRNA from 1 species
AUUGAACGCUGGCGGCAGGCUUAACACAUGCAAGUCGAGCGGGGGAAGGUAGCUUGCUACCGGACCUAGCGGCGGACGGGUGAGUAAUGCUUAGGAAUCUGCCUAUUAGUGGGGGACAACAUCUCGAAAGGGAUGCUAAUACCGCAUACGUCCUAUGGGAGAAAGCAGGGGAUCUUCGGACCUUGCGCUAAUAGAUGAGCCUAAGUCGGAUUAGCUAGCUGGUGGGGUAAAGGCCUACCAAGGCGACGAUCUGUAGCGGGUCUGAGAGGAUGAUCCGCCACACUGGGACUGAGACACGGCCCAGACUCCGACGGGAGGCAGGAGUGGGGAAGAUUGGACAAGGGGGGGAACCCUGAUCCAGCCAUGCCGCGUGUGUGAAGAAGGCCUUAUGGUUGUAAAGCACUUUAAGCGAGGAGGAGGCUACUUUAGUUAAUACCUAGAGAUAGUGGACGUUACUCGCAGAAUAAGCACCGGCUAACUCUGUGCCAGCAGCCGCCGUAA